UGAGGUGUAUGGCAAGUUGAACGUUU
rnacentral:piRNA from 1 species